rnacentral:rRNA from 2 species
UGGGGAAUUUUGGACAAUGGGCGCAAGCCUGAUCCAGCAAUGCCGCGUGCAGGAAGAAGGCCUUCGGGUUGUAAACUGCUUUUGUACGGAACGAAACGGCUCUGGUUAAUACCUGGGGCUAAUGACGGUACCGUAAGAAUAAGCACCGGCUAACUACGUGCCAGCAGCCGCGGUAAUACGUAGGGUGCAAGCGUUAAUCGGAAUUACUGGGCGUAAAGCGUGCGCAGGCGGUUUUGUAAGACAGGCGUGAAAUCCCCGGGCUCAACCUGGGAAUGGCGCUUGUGACUGCAAAGCUGGAGUGCGGCAGAGGGGGAUGGAAUUCCGCGUGUAGCAGUGAAAUGCGUAGAUAUGCGGAGGAACACCGAUGGCGAAGGCAAUCCCCUGGGCCUGCACUGACGCUCAUGCACGAAAGCGUGGGGAGCAAACAGGAUUAGAUACCCUGGUAGUCCACGCCCUAAACGAUGUCAACUGGUUGUUGGGUCUCUUCUGACUCAGUAACGAAGCUAACGCGUGAAGUUGACCGCCUGGGGAGUACGGCCGCAAGGUUG